GAUGAAGAACGUAGCGAAAUGCGAUAAGUAAUGUGAAUUGCAGAAUUCAGUGAAUCAUCGAAUCUUUGAACGCACAUUGCGCCCCUUGGUAUUCCGAGGGGCAUGCCUAUUCGAGCGUCAUUAUCACCCCUCAAGCACGGCUUGUGUGUUGGGCCUCCGUCCUCCUCCCGGGGGACGGGCCCGAAAGGCAGCGGCGGCACCGCGUCCGGUCCUCGAGCGUAUGGGGCUUCGUCACCCGCUCUUGUAGGCCCGGCCGGCGCUUGCCGACACAUCAAUCUUUUUUCCAGGUUGACCUCGGAUCAGGUAGGGAUACCCGCUGAACUUAAGCAUAUCAAUAAGCGGAGGA
rnacentral:misc_RNA from 1 species